AAAACUCUAUCCAUCAUUUGUUUUAUUGCUGUAGUUGAAGCCUGUCGCUUAAAGAUGGUACUUAAAAUGUCAUAGCAUCAUCAAGCUAAGUGUGCCAGUGACAUCUAAGUUGAAGCAGUUGAAAGAGCAGCCUUUGUUGAAGAGCAAUAAUACUAGAAUUUGUGAAGAAGACCAAGUGAUCAAUUUGUUUCCAGUGAAAGUGGUGAAAUAGAGGACCAGACCAUUGUGACUAGUAUAGAGCAAAGGUAUGAUAGAGCAACCAUCAGGAAUAAUUUAAAGCAAGCACUUCUCGAAAGUAAUAUGAAAUUGCAGAAGAGAGCAAGAAAACUGAGAGAGCAGACUCACUGAAAAAGCUUGCUGUGGAUAACAAGGACUGCGGAUAAAAGGAUCCAUGCCCGGCACUUCUGAUGUGUUGGUUGAAGAAGCUUUGAAAAUUUGAUAUGUCUACUAAGAACAAUUGCAAGAUACAAGACUGUGAAGAGAUGAAUUUGUCAGAAACAAGCGCCUGUCUCUGAGUCAGCUGAUCUAAUAAAUCACCCUUUCCUAAUUA